AGCGAACGUUAGCGGGAGGCUUAACACAUGCAAGUCGAGCGAGAACGUCACUUCGGUGGCUAGUACAGCGGCGGACGGGUGAGUAACACGUGGAUAAUCUGCCCUUUGGCGGGGGACAACAGCUCGAAAGGGUUGCUAAUACCGCAUACGUCUCUAGAGGCUCCGGUCUUUAGAGGGAAAGAUGGCCUCUUCAUGAAAGCUAUCACCAAAGGAUGAGUCCGCGUAGCAUCAGCUUGUUGGUGGGGUAAUGGCCUACCAAGGCAAAGACGCUUAGCUGGUCUGAGAGGAUGAUCAGCCACACUGGGACUGAGAUACGGCCCAG
rnacentral:rRNA from 1 species